rnacentral:rRNA from 1 species
CGGACGGGGGAGUAAUGUCUGGGAAACUGCCCGAUGGAGGGGGGUAACUACUGGAAACGGUAGCUAAUACCGCAUAACGUCGCAAGACCAAGAGGGGACCUUCGGGCCUCUUGCCAUCGGAUGUGCCCAGAUGGGAUUAGCUAGUAGGUGGGGUAACGGCUCACCUAGGCGACGAUCCCUAGCUGGUCUGAGAGGAUGACCAGCCACACUGGAACUGAGACACGGUCCAG